UGUUUGAAAUUUUUAUAAUAAAAUUUUGAAAAAGUAAUGACAUCUUAUUUACAUAGCAGUUUUCAAUUGAUAAGGAAAGUCUUUUUAGAAACAGACAAAAUAAUUUACUCUUCCACAGUGGCCCUGUAAAUUAGCUGGGUCAAAUAUAAUCAAUGUAUCAUAAAAACUAAGCCUCAGACAUUUAACAAAAUUCAACAUACUUUCAUCAUAAAAUCUCUUAGGUAACUAGGAAUAGAGUGAAAAGUCCUCAACAUGAUGAAAUACACUUAUGAAAAGCCCACUGGUAAUAUCAGACUCAGCGAUAAAGAACUGAAAGCUUUCCGCCUAAGACCAAGAACAAGACAAAAAUCUCUGCUCCCACCACUGCCAUUUAACACUGUACUGCAAGUUCGAACCAGAGCUAUUAGACAAAAAUGAAGUAUCCAAUUUGGAAAGAAAAGAGGCUCUCUCAGAAGCUCAUCUUCUAAGAUCAAGCAAAAAGAAGAGUAAUCUGCUUUGUCUUCAAUUUGUUACGAAAUCUCCGCUACUGUCAGUCAUGCUCUAGCUUCUGCCUUCAGCCCAGGAAGGAAAGACAAGAACCCCUGGCACGUGAUAGAAAGGUUGUUGUGCCAAAUCUCAGAUGCCAAGAACAGAAAAAGAAAAAUUAUCCACAACC